CAGUGUUAUAGCUCUUUUAGAAUUUGUCUAGCAGGUUUUCCGGUUGCUACCAGAAAGCCAAG
rnacentral:snRNA from 10 species